rnacentral:rRNA from 1 species
UGGUCUGAGAGGAUGACCAGCCACACUGGAACUGAGACACGGUCCAGACUCCUACGGGAGGCAGCAGUGGGGAAUAUUGCACAAUGGGCGCAAGCCUGAUGCAGCCAUGCCGCGUGUAUGAAGAAGGCCUUCGGGUUGUAAAGUACUUUCAGCGGGGAGGAAGGGAGUAAAGUUAAUACCUUUGCUCAUUGACGUUACCCGCAGAAGAAGCACCGGCUAACUCCGUGCCAGCAGCCGCGGUAAUACGGAGGGUGCAAGCGUUAAUCGGAAUUACUGGGCGUAAAGCGCACGCAGGCGGUUUGUUAAGUCAGAUGUGAAAUCCCCGGGCUCAACCUGGGAACUGCAUCUGAUACUGGCAAGCUUGAGUCUCGUAGAGGGGGGUAGAAUUCCAGGUGUAGCGGUGAAAUGCGUAGAGAUCUGGAGGAAUACCGGUGGCGAAGGCGGCCCCCUGGACGAAGA